GAUGAACGCUAGCUAUAGGCUUAACACAUGCAAGUCGAGGGGAAACGAUAUUGGAAGCUUGCUUCCGAUAGGCGUCGACCGGCGCACGGGUGAGUAACGCGUAUCCAACCUGCCCAUCACUUGGGGAUAACCUUGCGAAAGUAAGACUAAUACCCAAUGACGUCUCUAGAAGACAUCUGAAAGAGAUUAAAGAUUUAUCGGUGAUGGAUGGGGAUGCGUCUGAUUAGCUUGUUGGCGGGGUAACGGCCCACCAAGGCGACGAUCAGUAGGGGUUCUGAGAGGAAGGUCCCCCACAUUGGAACUGAGACACGGUCCAAACUCCUACGGGAGGCAGCAGUGAGGAAUAUUGGUCAAUGGGCGAGAGCCUGAACCAGCCAAGUAGCGUGCAGGAUGACGGCCCUAUGGGUUGUAAACUGCUUUUAUAAGGGAAUAAAGUGAGAGUCGUGACUCUUUUUGCAUGUACCUUAUGAAUAAGGACCGGCUAAUUCCGUGCCAGCAGCCGCCGUAA
rnacentral:rRNA from 1 species